AAAAACAUCGCCUCCCGCAAAAAAUCAACGUAUAGGAGGUCUUGCCUGCCCAGUGACUAUAAGUUAAACGGCCGCGGUAUUUUGACCGUGCAAAGGUAGCGCAAUCACUUGUCUUUUAAAUGAAGACCUGUAUGAAUGGUAGAACGAGGGCUUAACUGUCUCCCCCUUCCGGUCAAUGAAAUUGAUCUACCCGUGCAGAAGCGGGUAUAAUUAUACAAGACGAGAAGACCCUUUGGAGCUUAAGAUAAAAGACCAACUAUGUUAAAAGUCCUAGAAGAAGCUAAACCAAAUAGCACUGGUCCCAGUCUUCGGUUGGGGUGACCGCGGGAGAAAACAAAGCUCCCACGCGGACUGGGGAAACCCCCUAAAACCAAGAGAGACAUCUCUAAGGCACAGAAUAUCUGACCAAAAAGAUCCGGCUACACGCCGACCAACGAACCAAGUUACCCUAGGGAUAACAGCGCAAUCCCCUUCCAGAGUCCAUAUCGACAAGGGGGUUUACGACCUCGAUGUUGGAUCAGGAUAUCCUAAUGGUGCAGUCGCUAUUAAGGGUUC
rnacentral:rRNA from 1 species